rfam:Myotis brandtii contig169289, whole genome shotgun sequence.
CGCGGGUCCAAGCCUGUAGCCCCAAAUCGGAUAAUCUCUGCAGCUGAUAACAAGCAAAAGAGAGAAGCCAGGCAACAGACAUAAUAAAGAAGAAAACAACUCCGAGG